ACUCCUACGGGAGGCAGCAGUGAGGAAUAUUGGUCAAUGGGCGCAAGCCUGAACCAGCCAUGCCGCGUGCAGGAAGACUGCCUUAUGGGUUGUAAACUGCUUUUAUAUGGGAAGAAACCCCUCUACGUGUAGAGGCUUGACGGUACCAUAAGAAUAAGCACCGGCUAACUCCGUGCCAGCAGCCGCGGUAAUACGGAGGGGGCUAGCGUUGUUCGGAAUUACUGGGCGUAAAGCGUGCGUAGGCGGAUUGGAAAGUUAGAGGUGAAAUCCCGGGGCUCAACCCCGGAACUGCCUUUAAAACUUCCAGUCUAGAGUUCUGGAGAGGUAAGUGGAAUUCCUAGUGUAGAGGUGAAAUUCGUAGAUAUUAGGAGGAACACCAGAGGCGAAGGCGGCCCCCUGGACAGAUACUGACACUCAGAUGCGAAAGCGUGGGGAGCAAACAGGAUUAGAUACCCUGGUAGGAUAGCG
rnacentral:rRNA from 1 species